rnacentral:rRNA from 1 species
GACGAACGCUGGCGGCGUGCUUAACACAUGCAAGUCGAACGGAAAGGCCCUGCUUUUGUGGGGUGCUCGAGUGGCGAACGGGUGAGUAACACGUGAGUAACCUGCCCUUGACUUUGGGAUAACUUCAGGAAACUGGGGCUAAUACCGGAUAGGAGCUCCUGCUGCAUGGUGGGGGUUGGAAAGUUUCGGCGGUUGGGGAUGGACUCGCGGCUUACCAGCUUGUUGGUGGGGUAGUGGCUUACCAAGGCUUUGACGGGUAGCCGGCCUGAGAGGGUGACCGGCCACAUUGGGACUGAGAUACGGCCCAGACUCCUACGGGAGGCAGCAGUGGGGAGUAUUGCACAAUGGGCGGAAGCCUGAUGCAGCAACGCCGCGUGCGGGAUGACGGCCUUCGGGUUGUAAACCGCUUUCGCCUGUGACGAAGCGUGAGUGACGGUAAUGGGUAAAGAAGCACCGGCUAACUACGUG